rnacentral:tRNA from 3 species
CGAGGCGUAGCGCAGUUUGGUAGCGCGCUUGCUUCGGGAGCAAGAGGUCGUGGGUUCAAGUCCCGUCGCCUCGACCA